GGCAGGGGGAGAGAGGUCAGUGUUAUCCAAACAGUGCCAUCGGGCCAUUUGCUAUAGCACCCUCCAGUCAGCAAGCCGGAGGAAUCGGAGCCCGUCACUUCAAUCAAGCUUACAAGCACAAGCUGUGCACAAUGAAUUUAUAAUGCCAAGAUCAGAGGAGCAAAAUCACACCAGAAGAGCAAGGGAGAGUGAAAUGGGGAGAGAGAUGGAGAGUGUGUGGGAGAGCAUGUCGGCCUUGGGGUUACCUGGAUACACCUGGGGGAGAUGAUAAAGGUCUUAAUGGAGCCAGGUCUCAGUUAAGGACAAAUGCAUUCAUUGUGUAUUUCUGCAUCUUCGAAUCAAGCUAUGCUGUUUCCAUGGUGUGGACCGCACCCUGCAGCACUUUCUGUGACAUUUCAAAUAUAGGUGUUUGGAGACUGACUGAGGGGAAAAUAUUUGAUCGCAUAUCUGUGCAUGCUUCUCAUCACUUAAUAUUAGAAUUUACAUAUGUAUGUGUGUGAAUAUCUGUAUGUGCCUGUGUGGGUGUUUGCAUAGUGAGCAUUUAGCAUCAGUUAGCAGACAAUAGCCUCACAAACACACA